ensembl:lncRNA
UUUUUUGUCUUUUGUUUUUUUAGGGCUAUACCUGCGGCACAUGGAUGUUCCCAGGCUAGGGGUCGAAUCAGAGCUGUUGCUGCCAGCCUACGCCAGAGCCACAGCCAUGCCAGAUCCAAGCUGCGUCUGCGACCUACACCACAGCUCACGACAACACCAGAUCCUUAAUCCACUGAGCAAGCCCAGGGAUUGAACCCACAACUUCAGGGUUCCUAGUCGGAUUCAUUUCCACUGAGCCAUGAUGGGAAUUCCUCAUCUUCAUUUUUAAUUCACUAAAUCUUCUACCUUUUGUUGGGUUGAACCAAAUGAAACUGCCCUCAUUUGAUUACUGGUGACCUAUAUUUUAUUUUUCUGUCUUUUUGAUUCUUUAAGGCCACACCUGCGGCAUAUGGAGGUUCCCAGGCUAGGGGUCAAAUCAGAGCUGUAGCUGCCAGCCUAUGCCACAGCCAAAGCCACACACAAUCCGAGCUGCAUCUGUGAUCUACACCACAGCUCAUGACAAUGCCGGAUCCUUAAGCCACUGAGUGAGGCCAGGGAUCAAACCCACAUCCUCAUGGAUACUAGUCAGGUUCAUUAACUGCUGAGCCAUGACAGGAACUCCAAUCACUGUUGACCUAUAAAAGCAACACUUUCAUACAGUUCAAUCUGACACUUCUUGAAUUCACCCUCGUUUAGAUUACCACUGUCAUCUGGUCUACUUCAUUGGCUUUCUAGAAGGUGCUCCUGCCUCUGAGUCUUCCUCUAGUACUUUUGUCACGUAGCAGCCAGUAACAUUUGUAGCAUGUGAAUUUGAUUUUCUCAUUCUCCUGCUCAAGGCCCGCCCCAUUCACUUUCUAUUUGCCUUCUUUUUAAAAAAAAAAAAUCCUCAUUAAUAAAGCAACUUUAUUUAUUUAUUUGCUUUUUAGGGCCACAUCUGUGUUAUAUGGAGGUUCCCAGGCUAGGGGUCAAAUCAGAGCUGCAGCUGCUGGCCUACGCCAUAGCCACAGCAACAACAGAUCCAAGCCUCGUCUGCCACAGCAACACUGGAUCCUUAACUCACCCAGUGAGGGCAGGGAUCAAACCUUAGUCCUCAUGGAUACGAGGCGGGUUUGUUACCGCUGUGCCACAACAAGAACUCCAAUAAAGCAACUUUAUUUAAUUUCUUGGGGGGGGUUUGUAGGAGCAUCAUUUUACUUGAGUUUCAGAAAAGGCUAUAUUUGUAAGUCUUUCAGAAUUUGAUAUGUCCUUUGACUUUUCAGUGUAAGGUCACUGGUGAGAUUUUUUUCUUUUAGGAUUCUUAUUUUUUCCAUUAUAGUUGAUUUUUGGUGUUCUGUCAAUUUCUACUUUACAACAAAGUGACCCAGUCAUACAUAUACACAUACAUUCUUUUUCUCACAUUAUCCUCCAUCAUGUUCCAUCACAAAUGACUGGAUAUAGUUCCCUGUGCUAUACAGUAGGAUAUUUAUUAAUUUAUUUAUUUUAGCCACAAGGGAACCCUCCCUUCUCCUUUAGUGCAAACCAUGUAACAUGGCAUAUAUAUGUGUAUAUAUAUAUAUAUUUUUUUUCCCCAACAUACAUAUGUACUAGGCACUCCAGAUCAGGUACCUCUUUAAGUCUCCAGCCUCACUUGCUUUACUUCCCUGCUAUACUCUGCUCCUAUUCUCCCCUGCUGAAAUUUGCUUUUGUGCUGGGCCAUGCCUUGGAAAAGGUGAUAAUCCUGUGCAUUCACUCUCCAAUCUCUGGGGUUUUUUUGGGGGGUUUGUUUUUUUUUAGGGCUGCACCUGUGGCAUAUGUAAGUUCCCAGGCUAGGAAAAGAAAAAAGAAAAGAAAAUUUCAAAGACAGUGCCAGGACUUACAGAUGAUGUUAAGAAUUUUUCACCUCCAGGAUUCUAGCUAUGAUGGGCAUGAGGAAAGACAGAAAGUUACUCAAACAGGAGUCCUCUUGGAGUUCCUGCUGUGGCACAGUGGGUUCAGAAUUCAAAUGCAGUAGCUUGGGUCACUGCAGAGGCACAGGUUUGUUUUGUUUAUCUUUUCUAGGGCCACUUCCCAUGGCAUAUGGAGGUUCCCAGGCUAGGGGUCUAAUCAGAGCUGUAGCUACCAGCCUACAUCACAGCCACAGCAAUGCGGGAUCUGAGCCUCGUCUUCGACCUACAGCACGGCUCUUGGCAACACCGGAUCCUUAACCCACUAAGUAAUGCCAGGGAUCGAACCUACAACCUCAUGGUUCCUAGUCGGAUUUGUUAACCACUGCAUCACGAUGCGAACUCCGAGACAGGUUUGAUCCCCAGCCCAGCACAGUGGGUUAAAGGAUCUGGUGUUGCAGCUGCAGCUCAGAUUCUAUCCCUGGUCUGGGAAAUUCCACAAGCCAAGGGCACAAUUCUCUUUACCCCUGAUGUUCCCUACUAGUAAUUUUCCAUCCAUUGCCCUGCUCCUUGGCUAUAAAUUCCCACUUGUCCAUGCUGUAUUUGGAGUUGAGCCUAAUCUACCCCCCCCAACGCAAAAAUCCCAUUGCAGUCAUCUUUAUACCUCUGGCGAUGGUCCUGAGUAAAGUUUGCCUUAUCAUCUUUAGUAGGUGUCAUCAAAUACUUUUUUUUCCUUCAGAAAUUCCACAUCCUUAGCAACAUGUGGCGGGUCAAUCUUUAAUUUUGGCCAUUCUAGCCAGCGAGCAGUGGUAUCUCAUUACGACUGAAUUGCAUUUGCUUAAUAACUAAUGAUUUUGAGCUACUUUGCUUGUGCUUACUGAUCACUUACUCUCGUCUAAAGUGUUCAGGUCAUUCAUACAUUUUGACAUUUUGACAUAGAUGUUGCAAUUGGGAGUGUGGACACGGAAGCAGCCUAAAUGUCCAUCAGCAGAGGAAUGGAUAAAGAAGACAUGGUACAAACAUACAAUGGAAUAUUACUUGGCUAUAAAAAAAAAUGAAAUAAUGCCAUUUGCAACAAUCUGGAUGGACGUAGAAACCAUCAUAUUAAGUGAAAUUAGUCAGACAGUGAAAGACAAACAUCAAUAUCACUUAUAUCACUUUAUAAAAAAAGGAUAAAAACAAACAUAUUGCGUAACAGAAACAGACUUACGGAAAAACUUAUGGUUACCAAAGGGGAUGGGGUGGGAGGAAUGGACUGAGGAUUUGGGUUUGGCAUAUGUACACUAGGUAUAUGGAAUGACUGGUCAACAGGGACCUGCUAUAUAGCACAGAAAACUCUACUCAGUAUUCUCUGAUAACCCAUGUGGGAAAAGAAUUUGAAUUUGAAAGAGAAUGGAUAUGUGUAUAUGUAUGACUGAAUCACUUUGUUGUACAGCAGAAUUUACCACAAACGUGCAAAUCAACUAUACUUCAAUAAAACUUUUUUUUAAAAAAAGAAUCCAACUGCAGCAGCUCAGGUAGUUGGGAGGAGCAGGUUGAUCCCCUGCCCUGCCCAGUGGGAUGAAGGACCAGCAUUGUCACAGCUGCAGCACAGAUCACAGCUGUGGCUUCGAUUCAAUCUUUGGCCUGGAUGUGCCACAGGUGGGGCCAUAAAAUAAAAAAAGAAAGAAAUGUGUCCUAGAGUAAUACAUAAUUUAAAAAAUGUUAUGGCCUCACUCCCGCAUAUAGAAGUUCCUGGGGCAGGGACUGAAUCCCAGCCACAGCUUCAGCAUCACAGGAUUCUUUAUCCCACUUGGGCCACAGUAGUAACUCCUAAUGUUAUAUAUUUUGAACUAAAAUCAUUUCGUUUGUUUGUUUGUUUUUUGUCUUUUUUCUAGGGCCGCUCCUGCAGCACAUGGAAGUUCCCAGGCUGAAGGUCUAAUCGGAGCUGUAGCCGCUGGCCUAUGCCAGAGCCACAGCAACAGCAACGCGGGAUCCGAGCUGUGUCUGCGACCUACACCAUAGCUCACCUCAAUGCCAGAUCCUUACCCCACCGAGCGAGCCCAGGGAUGGAACCCGCAACCUCAUGGUUCCUAGUGGGAUUCGUUAACCACUGAGCCACGACGGGAACCCCUAAAAUCUUUAUUAGUCUAUUCAACCAUACAUUAAAAAAUACUUAUUGAGAGUCUACCAAGUACCAUGCACUUUUCCAGCUUCGUUAGUCAGCUGUGACAGAUAAGAGCUUUGCCUUUGUUUGAAGAGUUAAUAUUUUAGUGGGGAGAGGCAAAAAGUAAACUGGAAACAAGAUGAUUUUAGAUAGUGUGGAGACGUUCAAUGAAGUGUUGUCAAUUAAUAACAGGACAUGGGAAAAAACCUAUAUCCCAUAAGAGGAGUAGAGAAAGGAGAGUUAGGUAAUUUAUGUGCUGUGAGACUGAUGGAAUAUAACGACAUUAAAUCGAUAAUUAUGACAUUAAAAAUACUUCGCCGGUAUAGAAAAAGUCAAACUUAAAACCGUGUACUUUGUUUAGGACUAUGUAAAACACCUGUGCUAUGAUGCACAUGUACAGAAAUUAGAAGGACCCAGGAGAAAAAGAAUACGCUGUUGUACUUAGAAUAGAUUUACAAGGAGAUCCUGCUGANNNNNNNNNNNNNNNNNNNNNNNNNNNNNNNNNNNNNNNNNNNNNNNNNNNNNNNNNNNNNNNNNNNNNNNNNNNNNNNNNNNNNNNNNNGGGAAAAAAAAAAAAAAAAAAAAAAAAAGAAUACGCUGUUGUAUUUUUUUGUGGUGGCAUUAUGGGGGUUUAAAGGCUUUUGCUUCGCUUUGGUUUUCUCUUACGCUUUAUCUCGUUCGCACAGCAGAAACUGGUAUGCUUCUAGGAUUUUCCUUUGAGGAAAGCUUUACAGCUCAGAGACUAAAAUAUCUAUCAUGACGCAUGGAAGACUUAAAAAAUAAAACUUACGUUAUUUCAGUGUGACAGAGGGCAAAGAAGUGAAGGCUACAGGUUUCACUCCAUACAGCUUAGGGCUCUUAAAGCACCAAGAGCUUGCUUCUUUGGAAACCGGCGGAAAAACAUCGAGUUUGUGUACCAAGGCUGGCGGGCGAAGCCAGGGGAGAGGCGCGGC